ACAGAGAGACUAUACCUUUUCCCACACCAUAGGCAUGUGCCCUGCAAGUCUCACUCUUGUCACUUCUGGAAAACUGCACGUGGUCUCUGUGACACAGGGCUAUUUCCCACUUCUGUUCUUCAACUCUGAGCAACCCUGGGCAGGUCAGAAGUUCUUUCAGGUCAUUGUUCUUUCAAGAUUCCAAAAAAAUUACUUAACACUUCUGGAGCUCCAGAAACGAUGAUAUUUGACGCUCUCUAAAUGAGAUAAGCAGAUAAGGCUGGAGGCUUGAAGAGGUUCAGCUGGAGAAGACUCAUAGGUCAGAGUAGGGAGACUGGACAGAAAUGCAUACUCUAUACCAAGACAGCUCUCAUGGAGCCCCAGUGGUGGAACAAGGAAGAGCCUGGAGAAAUUUCAGCUUCACUUUCAUUCUCCUGAGUGCUAUCAUCUUGCUUCUCCACUCUGACCAUGCAGCCUUUCUUUGUAUAUUCCAAAAGUCAGAAAAUUUGAGGGGAAUUAUUGGACAGGCCCAGAGUGGGGAUCCUUGGACUCCAAGCCCAGUUCUCAUUGACUGGCUGUGUGACCUUGGGCAUAUUAGUUAAGCCUCAGUUUCCUGUAGUGUUAAGUGGGACUAUUAAAAUGCUUCUUAGAGAAAUGGUGGAAAGAUUAGAUCUAAGAACAUGAAGAACCCAGCACAGUGCCUGACGCAUAUUUAGUAUUAAAACAAUUGGCAGCAUUACAUUGAUCAUCGUUGUCCAGAUGCUACAUGUUCCCCUUGGCAGAUUUCUUUCUCUCUUUACUGGAGCCCCCCAGAAGAGCUGACAUGUUUGUGGACCCAGAAAUUGCACCAAUCCAAAAAGUCAGAGUAAAAAAAACUUGGCAACUUAACGUGCUUGCUUCC
rnacentral:lncRNA from 1 species